rnacentral:rRNA from 1 species
UGGGGAAUAUUGCACAAUGGGCGCAAGCCUGAUGCAGCCAUGCCGCGUGUAUGAAGAAGGCCUUCGGGUUGUAAAGUACUUUCAGCGAGGAGGAAGGCGGUAAGGUUAAUAACCUUAUCGAUUGACGUUACUCGCAGAAGAAGCACCGGCUAACUCCGUGCCAGCAGCCGCGGUAAUACGGAGGGUGCAAGCGUUAAUCGGAAUUACUGGGCGUAAAGCGCACGCAGGCGGUCUGUCAAGUCGGAUGUGAAAUCCCCGGGCUCAACCUGGGAACUGCAUUCGAAACUGGCAGGCUAGAGUCUUGUAGAGGGGGGUAGAAUUCCAGGUGUAGCGGUGAAAUGCGUAGAGAUCUGGAGGGAUACCGGUGGCGAAGGCGGCCCCCUGGACAAAGACUGACGCUCAGGUGCGAAAGCGUGGGGAGCAAACA